UACGGAGGAUGCAAGCGUUAUCCGGAAUGAUUGGGCGUAAAGCGUCCGUAGGCGGGUGUGUGAGUCCAGUGUGAAAGGAUCAUGCUCAACAGGAGAAAGGCCGUAGAAACUACUGGUCUUGAGUGCGGUCGGGGUGGUGGGAACUCCUGGUGUAGCGGUGAAAUGCAUAGAUAUCAGGAAGAACGCCGGUGGCGAAAGCGCUCUGCUAAGCCGCAACUGACGCUGAGGGACGAAAGCGAGGGGAGCGAACGGG
rnacentral:rRNA from 1 species